rnacentral:rRNA from 1 species
GACGAACGCUGGCGGCGUGCUUAACACAUGCAAGUCGAACGGAAAGGCCCUGCUUGCAGGGUACUCGAGUGGCGAACGGGUGAGUAACACGUGGGUGAUCUGCCCUGCACUUCGGGAUAAGCCUGGGAAACCGGGUCUAAUACCGGAUAGGAGCCAUUUUUAGUGUGAUGGUUGGAAAGUUUUUUCGGUGUAGGAUGAGCUCGCGGCCUAUCAGCUUGUUGGUGGGGUAAUGGCCUACCAAGGCGGCGACGGGUAGCCGGCCUGAGAGGGUGGACGGCCACAUUGGGACUGAGAUACGGCCCAGACUCCUACGGGAGGCAGCAGUGGGGAAUAUUGCACAAUGGGCGCAAGCCUGAUGCAGCGACGCCGCGUGGGGGAUGACGGCCUUCGGGUUGUAAACUCCUUUCGCUAGGGACGAAGCUUUUUGUGACGGUACCUAGAUAAGAAGCACCGGCUAACUACGUG